rnacentral:rRNA from 1 species
AGAGUUUGAUCCUGGCUCAGAUUGAACGCUGGCGGCAUGCUUUACACAUGCAAGUCGAACGGCAGCAUGGAGAGCUUGCUCUCUGAUGGCGAGUGGCGAACGGGUGAGUAAUACAUCGGAACGUGUCCUGUUGUGGGGGAUAACUACUCGAAAGAGUAGCUAAUACCGCAUAAGACCUACGGGUGAAAGCGGGGGACCUUCGGGCCUCGCGCAGUUGGAGCGGCCGAUGACUGAUUAGCUAGUUGGUGGGGUAAAGGCCUACCAAGGCGACGAUCAGUAGCUGGUCUGAGAGGACGACCAGCCACAUUGGGACUGAGACACGGCCCAAACUCCUACGGGAGGCAGCAGUGGGGAAUUUUGGACAAUGGGGGCAACCCUGAUCCAGCCAUGCCGCGUGCGGGAAGAAGGCCUUCGGGUUGUAAACCGCUUUUGUCAGGGACGAAAAGGUGCGGGUUAAGAGCUAGCACUGAUGACGGUACCUGAAGAAUAAGCACCGGCUAACUACGUGCCAGCAGCCGCGGUAAUACGUAGGGUGCGAGCGUUAAUCGGAAUUACUGGGCGUAAAGCGUGCGCAGGCGGUUGGGUAAGACAGAUGUGAAAUCCCCGGGCUUAACCUGGGAACUGCAUUUGUGACUGUCCGACUGGAGUAUGUCAGAGGGGGGUGGAAUUCCAAGUGUAGCAGUGAAAUGCGUAGAUAUUUGGAAGAACACCGAUGGCGAAGGCAGCCCCCUGGGGCAAAACUGACGCUCAUGCACGAAAGCGUGGGGAGCAAACAGGAUUAGAUACCCUGGUAGUCCACGCCCUAAACGAUGUCUA